rnacentral:rRNA from 1 species
AUUGAACGCUGGCGGCAGGCCUAACACAUGCAAGUCGAGCGGAUGAAGGGAGCUUGCUCCUGGAUUCAGCGGCGGACGGGUGAGUAAUGCCUAGGAAUCUGCCUGGUAGUGGGGGAUAACGUCCGGAAACGGGCGCUAAUACCGCAUACGUCCUGAGGGAGAAAGUGGGGGAUCUUCGGACCUCACGCUAUCAGAUGAGCCUAGGUCGGAUUAGCUAGUUGGUGGGGUAAAGGCCUACCAAGGCGACGAUCCGUAACUGGUCUGAGAGGAUGAUCAGUCACACUGGAACUGAGACACGGUCCAGACUCCUACGGGAGGCAGCAGUGGGGAAUAUUGGGCAAAGGGCGAAAGCCUGAUCCAGCAAUGCCGCGUGUGUGAAGAAGGUCUUCGGAUUGUAAAGCACUUUAAGUUGGGAGGAAGGGCAGUAAGUUAAUACCUUGCUGUUUUGACGUUACCAACAGAGUAAGCACCGGCUAACUACGUG